rnacentral:lncRNA from 1 species
GAGCAAUGACCUGGCACGACGAUCGGCUGACUCUGCAGCACCUCACCACCUCUUCAAAGCGGGUCCAUUUGGAUUGGCACCAAGCUGGCCCUGCAGGUCUUCCAUGAAAGCGUGCUCAUAAGUUUUGCUGUCCAGCAUAAAUUCCUUGAGGCUCCGGAGCAAUGGUAGCCCGGAAAACAUCCCUGUGUUGGUUUCUUCAAGCUUGCCACGAAAAUCCAGCCGCUCAAGCUGAAGCAUUGCCCCUUCUUCAAACUCCACCGAUUUCAGGCCAUCUAUGUCAUUUAGCUCCAGCACUAUCAGACUCGGGAAUGCCUCCGGAUGGAAGGUGAAACGGAGGUCGUCAACCUGGAACGACUUCGCCCACAGACGUAAGCUGACCAGGUUCGGUAGCUUCCCAAGAACUUGGAGUGCAGGUUCGUGCUCCAGUAUUCUAGAGCUCCUUAGAACCAACUUCACAAGAUUCGGGAGCCCCUGGACCCAUCCUGGCAAUUUGACCAAAUUACCGUAUAUCUUGAGGCUCUGGAGUGUUUUUGGAGCGGAGGCCAAGCCCUCCAAACAGCCAUGCAAACCUGGCAUCCCCCAUGCCUGCACUAGCAAAGAUUCCAGACAGCUGAGAUUGGCAACGACUGAACAGAACUCCUGGCUGUUUUCCUUGUUGAUGCCAGUCACAGCUAACUUGCGCAACUGGGUCAGUCCUUUUAGGUCCCGUAGAAUUGCUUUGUCCCAUGCGAGAUUCACAAGACCCAAUGUGCGCAGGGAUUUUAGUUUCCCUAUCCCUCUUGGCAUCCAAGUUGGACCUUCCCUUGCCAUCAGAAGAGGGAACCACCAGCAGCAACACUGAGUGCAUACAUCACACCUAUUCAUGUCACCAUCCACACCCAUAACCUCUUUAACAAGUUGAGGUGCGCAACAUACCAUGCAAAAUCCUAGCAACCAACCCAUACAAAAGCAUGGCCUGUUAUUCACUACUUUUGGCAGUUCUUCAAACGUUAAUGAAUCAUCAUCCUUUCCAACAGCCCCAGCACGAAGAUAUUGUAGCUUCUUGAGCUUGGUGAUGGUCUUGGGCAGCUUUAAAAUCGCUGUCUCUGAAAUAUCUAGUGUUUCUAGUUGCUUUAGAUUACCCAACGAAUCUGAUAGGUGAAAAAUAGAAUCACAUCCUCUUAGAGAAAGAUAUCUGAGGUGAAGAAGCCUCCCAAUAUGCUCUAGGUGAUGACUAACCAGACCUGACGUGCCUUCCAAGUCCAGCACACGCAAGAACCUCAUCUUGUCAGAAAUGAAAAAGGACCUCCACUUCCCAAACACUGUUAACGAGCGUAUGCGGGACAGAUCCACUUUGUUCUCAAACUCACUCUUAUCUGCUUCCCAGUUGGUGCUUAUGACAAGGUGACGAACUGUGCCCUGGGUGUUUGAGCUGCAACCUUCCUCCAUUCUAAAAACAAGAUUUUCUUCUGUUGACUUUGAGAUGCUAAUCUCACGCAUGAGAUCAUGGACUUGGCAAGAGUCAAUUCCUUUUCUACUAUUAACUGAUAGCUGAGAAGGUAGGAUCAUGCUCCUCUCUAUUAGUUCCAUGAAGUAGUUGUCAGCUACUUCUUCUGGGGACUUAUCUCGAAUCUCCCUUGAGUAACCUUCUGCACUCCACCGUCGUAUCAAACGUCUUCGACUAACCUUGUGAUCUUCAGGGAAGAUGGAUGUAUAUAGGAAACAAGACUUAAGAUGAUAUGGUAGACCAUCAUAACUUUUACCAAGAAUUGUUUUUAUGGCCCCAAGCUCCGGGUUCAUUUCCAAUUCAGCACUAAUAUGCUCAUUUAAUUUCCUCCACUCUACCGCUACUUUUGGUUGCUUUGCCAAGAAGCCUCCGAUGGUGACUAUUGCAAGGGGGAGUCCAUUGCACUUCUUCAAGAUCAUUUUUGCUUCUUUGAUCAAUUCAGGAUGCUUAUCCAAAUCUUUGGCCUCCUUAAACACCUGAAAUCAGUAGUGCUUAUUAUGUUCUUUGAGAUUGAAAAUACGUACGAAUGGUCUAUGUAGUUUACUUAUUUAUUAGAAUGACUAUUGCACAAUUAUUAGUCUCAUGCCUAUUGAAGAAUAGAACUAUUAGUUAUGAUGUCCUUAUAUUGUAAUGAAAGAUAACACAAAUGGCGGCAGGAUUAUAUUGUAAUAUAGUAUACCUUUCUUGUGAAGAGGUCUUGUGCAUCCUUGCAGUCAAGAACUUUGAGCUUGUAUAUGUUUUCUUGUUUCUCUGAACAAUGUUUUGCUAUACUCUCUUCCCUUGUGGUCACUAUAAUCCGGCAUGAACUAUCUAAUUUAGGGAAGCUUCCAAAUAUAUUAUCCCAUUCUGCUAUUGAUGAAAGAUCAUCAAGAACAAUCAAGCACUUCUUCCCUUCAAGAAGCCUAGCUAACUCUUUUAUUAAUGCUUCAACUCCCAUCAUUACUGGGGCUGUGUUUCUUGCACCAUGUGCAAAAAUCUAUUGCUCCUUUCUUUUCAGAAGAUUGUACAUUUAGUUGCAUAAUUAAGCUCUUCAGAAACUCCUUACGAAUGAAAGGGCGCAUCACUGUAACACAAGCAUGCUUCUCAAACACACCAACAAGCUUUUGACUUUCAUAAACAUCUUUGAUCAGAGUAGUUUUCCCAAUACCACCCAUUCCCCAUACUGAGAUCACCGCAUGCUCUUGAUUAGAUCGAUUUGAAAUGAGGUUGAUGAUAUCAGUUUUUUCUUUUUGCCGACCGAUAAGUUGUGAUUCCUCCAAAGCACUUGCCAUAGUUUUGAUGCGAGUAAGGCUUUUUGUGAAUACCUUUAUCUCAUUGCCACCUUGAGAUUGAUGUCCCAGUGCUACAUUAGUACUUAUUGAUUUAUCUGAGCUGGACACUACCACUGGUAUUUUUAUUUGAUCUUGACAAUCCUAUGCAGAAGUAAACUUUAGUUAUCAGAAUUUUAAAUUUGUCGAUGUUUAAACAAUAUUUUGACUCAAAAGGUAAAUUCUAGCAUAAAUGCAUAUAAAUUUAUGAUGGCCAUAGAUAGAUUGCUUGGGUAAUUAAAAGAAACAAGAUAGAUUGAUUAGGCAAGAAUGAAAUUAUAACAUAUAGGGGAGGCUAGUAUCUAGCCCUAUUACAAAUGAGGUGUUUAGAUAGAACUAUAAUGUGUAAGAUUGUUAUUGGCCAAUAUAUAGAUUUUAUUUAACACUAAUAUUACUAAUAAUAGAUUCUAUUUGGAUGAUCGAUGUUAAAUCUCAAUAAACACGCUAGAAAAAUAGAUAGAUCUUAGAAAAUCUCACAAAGAGCGAAACAUUCUACCAUCAAUUUUGUAGACUCAAUCCUUGUUGAUAACAAUAAGCAUAGGAUGUAAUUUACUUUAAAAAUGACCUACCUCUACCAUUACAAAGAUAAUAUCCAAAAUCUACACCUAAAAUCCCCACAUAUGCCAUUAUGAAUAAGAAUUUAUUCGUCCUCUAAAUCUCCAUACAAGUGACCAAUCACUGCUACUAUGAAAAUAAAGCGUAAGUAACCUCACAAUUUGUAUCUAAAUUACCAAUACCCUCUACCAUUAUGAAUAAGAAUUUAAAUAAGAUAAUAAAUUUGUGGCUAGAUUAUCCACUGUUUCCAUUAUUAAAAAUGACUUAAAGUAAUGCUUAAAUCUACAUAUGAAUUACACAUUUCUAUGAUUAUAAAGUAUAAUAAUCCAAAGCAUGCCCUAUAAAUUCUUCUAAAUUGAUCAUUUGUAUCAUUAUUAAUAUGUGAAAAAACUAAAGUAUACACAUCCAUGAUGUGUAUCAUAUCACCAUAGAAACCAAGUAGCAAGCAUGCAGGGAUCAAUAGAUGCAUUGAUUUACAUGGUUUGGCAAUAACAAAAGUUAUUUUCUUAAUGAUUCAUAUUACAAUGGCAGUCCACAUUAAAUUAUAUUACAAUACUACUAAAUGACAAGAAUUAUUUAAGUUGCUACUCUAGAUAAAUGUAUUACAUUUUGACUGACAACAUUAUAACAUCUACAAUGAUAGUUACAUUAUGACCACUCUAAUUAUUUACUCCCUCAAGCUAUUCUUUUGAUCUAUUUUUGUAACAUAAGUUAUAAUGUCAUGUGUCGUCCCAAUUAAUAUGAACUUAAAACUCAACCGGUACAUGGAAAAACAAAAAUAAAAUAUCUCAUUAGGGGUAGCAUGGACCAAUUGAAUUAGUUUGGAUCAGUUGUUCAAGUGACUAAGCGGACAUAGCGGAUUGCUUAGGGUAGUAAAAUAGACUUCUUCAUUUAGUAAGGUCUUUCUAUAGAGAAAUUUUUACACCUCUAGACAUGCUAGUUGAGAAUCUUGUUUAUUCCUUCCACUUCUAACAGUUAUGCUUCUUAUGCUAGCAUGUAUAGGAGCAUGUGUACUUGUUGAUGGACUCGCUCUUAUUGACGAAAAUUGAUACAUUCUUUCCUGUGCCUAUGAAUAUGGUAAAAGAAUCCCCACAGAACAUCGACCCCCACGGCUGAUCGGAACUGCUUCACUAAGCUUUGGAUGAAGUCGAUCAUUCGGAUUGAACGGAUGCGAGAUCCUUACCCAUGCCCGGCACGAAAACUUCUUUUUGAUAUCUGGAUUCUCGUAGGCCGCGUUGAUGAUGGAUGUCUGCCCAAGAUCACCACUGGUUCCCCACACUGCGAUCACUCUAAGAUCCUCGCCCGGUGUGUUGAUCAGGUGGACCAGGUCCACUUUUGAGUUGUCAUUCUUCGCAGCACGCCGUGCAUCAUCGAUGCCGAAUAUCGUCGCAGCUGUAAUGCUUGACUGCUCAGCAGAAGUGACCGGCUUGGAGCCAGCGCUCUUGAUGAGCUGGUAGCGCAGGUUCCUCUGGCUCACGUCCUCAACUCUGGCCCUCAGCUCCUUCAUCUGCUUGGCGAUGCGGCACCGCUCUUGCCACGUGCGAGGAAGGUGCCACCAAGAUGGCUUGUGGAGAUGAACAGAGAAAUCCUGGAGGCAGUCCUCCGCAUCGUACGCCACGUCACGCACUUGUUUCACCCAGGUCAUGAGCACCUCAUGGUUGUCUCGCUCGUCGUGCGUGGCCCUCAUAAAGGCUUGCAUCAUCGCGAGCUCGUCUCUGAUGAAAGCAUGAUCGCGCUGGAUGCCGAGCUGCAAGGCUACCUCCUCUGCGACAGCGGAUUUGGCGUAGGCCCUGUUUGGAGUCGCUUAUUUCCCGCUUAUUGGUGGAAAUAAGCGAUAAACCCACCUAAACGCCUUGCUUAUUCCCCGCUUGUCACGUAAGCCGCUUAUUGGAGAAUCUGAAAUACAACUAGCACUCAGCUUAUCUCCUACGCGGGUCAGACCACGCUUCUGGGGCAAGCGGAGAAAUUUUCCCCCGGGUACCCUCGGGCAACGGCCUCCAGGCGACCACCGCCGCUCCUCCCGCCGCCGCCGCUCCAGAUCCCGCCGCCGCCGCUCCAGAUCCCGUCGCCGCCCCCCUGCAGAUCCCGGCGCCGCCCCUGGGGUCGGCCGGGCCGCUUCCCUACCUCCGGCGGCCGCCCCUGCCAGGCUCCCGCCGCGGGCCGCUAGCCGCCGGACGCCCGCGCCGCCGGACGCCUGGGCGCCGCCCCCGCCGGCCCCGGCGCCGGACGCCCCCGCCGCGGGCCGCUGGGCGCCGCCCCCGCCGCCGGAAGCCCCCUCCGCCCCCGCCUGGGCGCCACCUCCGCCGGUCGACGCCCCAUCCCCCUGGAUCCGGCUCCACCGCCGAAGUCUCCUGCUGCCUGGACACCGCCCCGCCGCCGGACGCCCCCGCCGGAGUCUCCUGCUGCCUGCGCCGGACGCCCCCGCCGCCUGGCCGCCGCCUGGCCGCCGCCCCGCCGCCGGACACCCCUGAAGUAAGUUUCUGGUUCCCCAGUCCAACAGGCUUUUUAACCAUCUCUGAAAUAUGCAUUGAAGCAAAUAGCAAAUAUACAUAUUGACAUGGCUCAACUACAGAAGCAAAAAAGUUAUAGGGCAUUCUUUACGUUAUGUACCUUAACGUCACCAAAAGCGGUGAUUCACUUGAGUAUCAGAAACUAUUCGAAGAGCACAUCCGGCCAGCGCUGAAGGACAUAGUCUGGGCCUGGCAUGGAGAUGAUCAGCAGCAAAAGCAGGAGUAGCUUUGGAUGCCUCAGUUUGUGGUCUGAAAUUCCGUUUGAUUUUUCAGCUCAGAUUUUAUUUUCAUGUGUUCAUUGUUAGCAACUACAUUCGUUUUUGUAUUGGAAGAACACCUGUUGAGUUGUGUUGAUGUGAACCAUUAGGCUGUAUUUCGUCGAAUAAUAAUUGUUGAGAGGCUGAGUUCUUGAGUUUUAUUCUGAAACUCUUUCUGUUCUGUAAUUGCUGUCCCCGUCGAUAAUGAUAUACAACACCUCUGGUGCUUGAAAAAAGGCUAAGAUUUCCAGUACUAAGAUAAUAGCUUCUUUUGGUGAAACAUCGUGCCUAGAGCAUGAAUUCUCUGCGCACAUAUGACAUUUGCAAAAAAAUAUGCAUCUCAUCACCUGCAUAUGGAAUCAAUUAAUUUUUUUUAGCCACUCCAGCAACCGAAUGCCAAUGUGAUUCUCUAUGGCAUCAAGAAUGAUCUAUAUGUUCUUUAUUAGUUUAAUUCUCCAAUAGAGAGUGCACCAACACAUGAUGCGUUUACUGUUCUAUCUCCAUAUAAAUCUUUUAUCGUGUCACUAUAUAUUGUGAGGUGGCACAUUAGUCCAGGCAAACCGAAGUUGAUAGACAUCAGGAAUGUAGGUAUUAUUUAUCCAAAAUCCAUACCACAGGAACUGGUGGUUACCAGUGUAACAAACUAGUCAGGGAGCAGUGCACUUCUAACUUUGGUACAGUGGGAAGGCGCGUAGAAAUAAGACAGUGGCAAAAACAAUCUUUUUCAUUAAUUCUUUUUUCAUUUUGCAUUGGAGUCUCUUUGGACCUAUAUGAUGAUGGAGUAGCUCAUAACAAUUUUAUGUAUGCGUGUAGUUGCUGCGAAGGAUCUGGACAGCUGUAGCUGUUACGACUGCAAGGCCGCCAACAAAUAGCAAGGUAAAAUUUGUGUCACUUCUUGAUGGAUUGCUAAAAUGACAGAUUGUGGUUUGUAUGAUCAGUGAACAAGCUCGUAGAUUUGUAUUUAAUUCUACAAUACUGUAAUCAAAUUUUAGAUGGAAAAGUCGUCAAAGAUUGUGGCAAAAUGGGAUUCAUUUGCCGCGAAAGCUUUCAAUGACAUUUGUGUGGAAGAAGUACUUGCUUUCAAUCGACCGCAGCAAUGUUUGAAUGCGGUGGGAUAUGCAAACCUUAUUAGAAAGUUUUAUGAGCGUACCAAGAGGCCAUACGGUGAGAGUCAAAUGAAGAAUAGGUGGGAUAUAUUGAAUCUAUCAUGAGAUUAGCUGUUGACAUUGUGAGGCCUAAGGAUCUGCAAUUUUCUACUAUUCAUCCUAAACUACAAGAAGCAAGGUUUUGGCCUCAUUUCAAAGAUUGCAUAGGAGCAAUUGAUGGUACCCAUAUACCCGUAACUGUGCCAUUAGCUGAUCAACCGAAAUACAUUGGUCGGCAUGGGUAUCCUUCACAAAACGUCAUGGCGGUUUGUGACUUUGAUAUGCGGUUCACAUUUGCUGUCACUGGUUGGCCUAGUUCUGUCCAUGAUACUCGUGUAUUAUUGGACACGCUUGUCACAUACAAGGAUCAAUUUCCACAUCCUCCCGAUGGUAAGGACGAGUUAUGUUGCAAUUUAUUUUUCAGGGAAUAUUUGCUCAUUGUGAUAUAACAUGUAAAUAUAAAAUGCAGGUAAGUACUAUCUUGUUGACUCUGGAUAUCCUAAUAGAAAAGGAUUUCUUGCACCCUACAAGGGACAGAGGUAUCAUGUUUCCGAAUGGCAGCAUGGUCAGCAUCCGGUAGGAUUGAAAGAAGUGUUUAAUCAUGCACAUUCAUCCCUUAGAAAUGUGAUUGAGCGAUCAUUUGGAGUUCUAAAGAUGAAGUGGCGCAUUCUCUUGAAUUUGCCCAGUUAUCCGAUUAACAAGCAGUCGAAAAUUAUAGUUGCUUGUAUGGCCCUUCACAAUUUCAUCAGAGAUAGUGCCGUACAUGACGUGCAUUUUGAAGAGGAUUUUCAGGAAGAUGAUGGUAAUUCAACCCAACCUAGCACAGAUGGUGGUGGUGGUGCUUUAGGAGAUGACAUUGAUAUGGGUGCAUUGCGUGAUGCUAUUGCUGUCGCUAUGGUUUCAUGAUUCGUUGUUGUACCCAUGAUGGAUGUUUCCAUACUAUUCCGAUCUAUCGUAUGAAUUUCAUAUUAUUGUAAUGUAAUUUCUAUUUAACAAACUCCAAAGGCAUUAGAAUUAUUGUCUUCUCCUCAGAUUCACAAUAAAAAUGAGCUAUUAUCAGCCUUAGGGGCAUUCAGGUCAAUUUACCAACCAGGACAGACAAUCGACACAAAAUAAUUAGGAUUGCCAAACACUCUGCUUAUUCAGACAGCAGCUUAUCCAGGCAGCAGGCUUACCAGAUAAGCUUGCUUGUCAGAUAAGCGAGUUCCAGAAAAGCGUAUACAAACAUGGCCGUAGCCAAGCGCUCCAUCCAGCACGGACUUGCCCACGCUCAACGCGGUGGCCUCCAUGGCUCUCCUCUCGGGUGUGCUGUGUGGUGUGGAUGGGUGUGGAAAUGCUUGGUGCCAGUCCACAAGCCAGCCAUUUGGUUAAAAAGGUGAACUCAACAACUAGAGGACCGAGCAAGUUAAAAAUUUUCAUGAGGACUCGUACUUAGUGUAGCAGUUCCUCAAGUCGUACCAAAUUAAUUUAGUGGUAGGCUAUGUUAAUUAAGUUAUCUAAAAGCUUUUUUACAUAUGCCUCCGGCUAGUAUUGAGAUGCACGCAAGAGAGCUGUUGGGCCAAGCUUGCAGAGUGCUGUCAAGGAUAAGGACAUUUGGAAUCAACUGAAACAUCAUAAUAAGUGCAAAUUUCCCUGCGCGUACCAGACUUCAUUAACUAUAGUUAUAGAUUAUUCGUAAAUUUUACUAUAGGUGUAAACCCUCAACGACUCUUUGCAUUGAGUGCAGGAAAGUACUCGACAAACCCAGAUCGCAGACAAAUGCGAUGACCUCGCCUGAGGUGGUUGGGGCAAAUAAUUCAGGUGCUUGCGCAGCAACGAUGUGCACUGAAGUAUUAAGAUUGAUCAAGCAGGCAGGCUUUGACUGAAUAGUUUGUUCCCGUGCCCUAUACUACGCAAACUAGGAGGGCGACGGCCCAACGACCACGGGUAAAGAAACGAUCUUGCAUCCAGCUACAAAAUUCUCGGUCUUUUUAAACUCGGGACUAAACGAGUUUUAGUCCCAGGUCCAAAAACCAGCUCCAACGGGGGCUCUUUAGUCCCGAUCAGUAAUAUUAACCGGGACUAAAGAGCCAAUUUAGUCCCGGUUGUAAUGGGUAGAAACAACGAGGGAAUCUGGUAGGACAUUUAGUCCCGGUUGGUAAGGCCACUCAUUUAGUCCCGGUUGGUGGUUCCAACCGGGACUAAAGGAUGAUCUUUAGUCCCGGUUGAAACCAACAACUGAGACUAAAUCCUCUCUUUUUCCCCACUGGCGGCCUCAUCUCUCUCCCCACUGCAUUAUCCUCUUUCCCAACCCACCACUGGCCUCUCUCUCUCUCUCCCUCCACAGAUUCCUCUCCCACCUCUCCUCCUCUCUCCUCCCUCCACAAUCUGCCGCUGGAGCACAAGGCCUCCCCGGGCGCCACCCUGGCCGCCAGCGCGCAAGGCCUCCCCGACUCGCCCCCUAGACGCCAGCCGCCGACGUGCGGGCCUCCCAGGCCGCCAGCCACACGUGCGUGCAGGGCCUCCCCAGCCAGCGCCUAGCCGCUAGCAGCCACCGACACGUGAGCCCUCCCGGCUCGCCACCUGGCCACCGGCGGCGUGGGGCUGGUGGCUCCCGAUAGCUACGACGGCGAGCGCGAGGACCAGGAUGAGGAGCAGCGCGGGCUGGGGUAGGGCCAUUGGUGGGUCUGGCAGAGUAGAGCCCGAGGGUCUGCUGUGGGCAGUGCGUCGGCAAGGUUGUUUCCUACCAGCUCGGCGCGCCCACGCGGACGGUGCUCAUCCUUCUUUCACAUACGUUAUCUGUAUGCGUGUGUUUUUUUCCUGAUUCCUGCUUGUUCAUGGGUGUCUUAUUACUUUCUCAUUUUUUUCAUUACCAACUAACCUUUCUUGUUUUUUGCCCUAGCUCCUCCAUCUGUUUUUGGAUUGUGCCCCAACGGUUAUGCUUGUUGCAAAUUAUUUAUUUUCCUUCCUUCCAUCUUCUUACAUUUUUGGUGAAUGGUGUACAAUAGGUUCUAGCAUGUUUGUACAAAGCUCUUGAAAAGUUGUUUUAUGAAAUAUGUUCAUAAUUAAUAACUUGAUGGAACACAUAAGUUGAUCGAAACAAAAUCAGAAAAAGAAAAGUUCAUAGUUGUUGGCUCGAUUCUCUUAUUUGCUUGUGUUUUUUUCCUUUGCAUUAGCAGGUUGUUUUCUUCUGAAGUAAAUGUUUUCUUAUUUUCUAUCUGCAAUAAUUUAGAAGGGGGCCGGGGGGGGGAGUUUUUUUAUUUUUUUUGAACAUUUUAUUCCCGGUUGGUAAUACCAACCGGAACUAAAGGGGCGACGUGCAUGCACAUGCAUGGCGGCCUCUUUAGUCCCGGUUGGUAUUACUAAUCGGGACUAAAGGAGAUCUUUAGUCCCGGGUGAAUGAUCUGGGACAAAAGGGGGGACCUUUAGUCCCGAAUGAUUAGUCCGGUUGGUUUUUCGAGAGAUAUGUGACUUACCAACCGGGACUAAUGCUCAUAUUUCCACCAGUGGACUCACCAGGGAGAAAAGCACUUUAAGUAGUACACUCUAGGUGGAGACGAAUAAAAUGGGGGUGUCGUGUGCGCUUGAGACGGUGGUCAUGGAAAUUUUUACCUCAAACGGCUGGUGUUUUAGUAAUAGACUACCUUUUAUUUGACAUAAGCAUGAUGGAUAUCAUGAUUGUCUUCUUAAACUUUUUCACUAAUAAUGGACAGCUAUAUAUAUCAAUCGAUACAGCUAUAUGUAUCAAUCGAUAUAAUUGUAUCUAAUAAUGUCAUGAUCCGUGGCCGGUUACGGAGAAAGCUCCCGCUGCUUGCGUGGUGGCGAUGAGAGCCUUGCCGGUGGGGAUGGGGCCACGAUUUGGACACUUAAUGUUGAGAUGACAAGGGGAUCACGUUAGGUUCCGUUUGGCCGAGAUGCGGAACACCGCUAAUUGCUGAAGAUGACAACGUGGGGCCGGUAAACAACUGGGCGGGGGGUGGCAACAGCUAAUCUGAACGAGGCGUCGGGCACUGGUGGAAAACGUUUCUGCAUGUUCAUUCUUCCACGUUGCUCUACUGCAUUGCGAAUAAUCUCUGGUUUCUGAGUGACCAACGAGGCAACAAUAUUGGAGACAGAUGACCAGGAGUUGCCCCUUGAGACAUCAGAUACGUGCAGCAAUCGUGCUCAACUGCUCAGUGUGAACAUCUAGGAUCGAAGCCCUCUAGUAUAAGCUAUCAGAGGGGUGAAUGACUGAAUGAUAGCAAUAAAUCGCAGCGGAAAAUUUUUCACCAUAAAAAUAGAUUCUGGAUCGUCCACUUAAUCGUGUGUCGUUCUUAGAAUUUAACUCCUAUCGACGUGAAACUUGACCAGAAAAUAGUCUAUGAAAUUGUGCAACUAACGCACAAACCUACAGACAAGCUGCUCUGCGGUAGGGGAGAAAACUUCAGCAAAACACUAAAGCUUCUAUGCAGAGUAAAAAAUUAGAUCCUUGAAUCAAAUGAACUACAAUUAAUUGCAUGGGGUUCUUAGUAGUAGGUGUUAGAGAUAACUGAGAACAUGUGAUGCCUCCAGGGUGUAUCCUUCCUUAUUCUCGAGUCAAUUCCAUGGAUGGACGCGCGUGAGGAUGCAUCCACAACUUGUAGCGAAGCAUGUGACCUUGUAUGUGGUGAGAGCAAGCCCAGUGAUGGUUCACUCUGGUGUUCCGCAACUUGCUGCAAGGCCACCUCGUCAGCAACAGAUUUGGCGUAGCCAAGCGCAACAGUGGUGUGUGGAUAUUAAGCUGAUGGUUGUGAAGUGUAGUGCCGAUCCAGAAGCCAGACAUGCAUGGACUGAGACAGAUCAUCAGUGACAAGACAGAAAGUUGGCAUUUAUUUGUUUUAGAAGACUUAGCGACGAUAGUUGCUCAGGUCGUGAUAAGAAGCUAUUCUCAGCUACCAGACUUCAUUGACUAUAGUUAUAGAUGCUGCAACUGUACUAGAUCGAGACAAGUUACACAUUAUUCGUAAUUUUUUCUACAGGUGUAAACCCAUUGAUCCCUCAACGACUCUUUGCAUUGAGUGCAGAAAAGAUGCAGACAACUGCGAUGACCUCGCCUGAGGUGGUUAGGGCAAAUAAUUGAGGUGCCUGAGGUGGAUGUCAUGGUUGUCUUAUUAAGUUCUUUCACUUUCAUUUGGAGCAUGAUCUUAUUUGUAAUCAAUCGAUACAGCUAUAUGUAAUUAAUAAUGUCAUGAUCUGUGGCCAGUUGCGGAGAAAGCUCCCGCUGCUUGCGUGGCAGCGAUGGGGACCUCGCCAGCAGGGACGGGGCCAUGGUUUGGACUUCGGAGAGCCCGCGCCGCUGCGCCAAUGGCUGUUGGGCGCCGGCCGGGGCCCAGCUGGAAGGUGGUGAGGAGAGCCAUGCGAGCCUGUCCAAUUCCACGCACGGCGGCCGCGACGACAAGAGGAUCGCAUUAGGUUCCGUUUGGCCGAGAUGCGGAACCAAUCACACCGCUAAUUGCUGAAGAUGACAACGCGGGGAAUCAUGUCAAUAGGAGAUCUAUAACUCGAGAUAUAAAAUAAACAAGCAGAUGGUGACGAGAACUGGUCAAGCCCUAAUUCCGUGAGUAAGCAAAAUAUAUAAAAAGCUAAUGAAUCAAAAUUCUAAGAUCACUAACUUGAUGCCCUAACAUGGUUUUGGAUGGAUCAAAUCUAAUCACGUUGAACAAUGAAACGAUCUAAACCAAAACUGAAGAAUGAGCAUGCAAGAUGAAAAGCGGAUACAUCGAGGGAGAACAAAAAUUACCAAAACAUCAGUUACGAAACCUUAAUCUUCGUUGCAUCGAAGAAGUGUUAAAAAUGCCUAUACAAGCAUCUUAACCAUACAAAGAUGUUCACGAGAUCCCCAAACUUUAGACUCCGCUAGAAAAAGCAGAAGCGCCACCGCUUGCGUUGUCGUCUGGCUUGGGCGCCAUCACUGUACCGAACUUGGCCGGUUCGGUCUCCUCUUAGGCAAGUACAUUGGUGUUGUCUAAUAGUCGGUCUCAUAUAUUAACAUGUAAUAUUGAGAUGAGUUAACAAACAAUCCGUACGGGUUGUCUUUUUAAGUUGCCUCAUAGCAAUUCUAUUUCCUUAAUUUGUGCAUAGAAAAAAAAGAAAUAUUAUUGUUCUAUGGUAACCACAACUCAUACAAUGGUAGAGUAGUCGUCUCAUAGUCCUAAAAUCUAACCUAUGAGGCGUAUCUUUCUCUCUCCUCAUUCUCUCUCUUCCACAUCAGCAAAAAUCUUACGUGGCACUGAUGACCCUCAUAGCUGAGGUGUAUCAAUGUACUUACCCUUGUAUUUGCCGACGUCAACACCUGACGUGGGCCUUCUCUUUUUUUCACGUUGCGUUGGCCUCAUGUCCGAUUGGUGGUGGACUUGCACCAAACGUGUCCCACAUGGACACAGCACCACACGGCCUGACCCAGGCCCAUUACUGAUGUCAACAGUAGCUCUCUUAAAUUCCUUAAUUCUAGAUAUAGGAUGAUGAACUGAAAAUUUCAUGCUAAUAUCUAGCUAGUUCCUAAAUAAUUUCGUAUUAGCAUAUACUAAUCAACAGCAAAUGUGUUGUAGAAAGUAGUGGUAGACUAAGCAAUUGGCAGUGUUAUACACGUCCUCCAAUGUUGGACCUUUAUCAUGAAGCUUGCUCUGUUUUUUUUUGGGUUUCACACGGCAGAUGGAAGAACAGAAUCUUUGCUUUCCUAACUAACUAAAGCUAAAGCGAUCAUGCUUCCCGUACCAUCCAAAGAACUGAAGAUAAAGCAAAGGAGCCGGUACGAUGGGAGAAGAUGAGAGAUUUAUCUUAACACCUUUGUGCUUCGGGCGGGAGAGCAAAUUGCUAUCUGUGAAAGCUAUUUCCCUAUUUCUUGUACCAUUGUUUUGCAUGGCAGCCUGCCAGCCAAAGCUUGAUCUAAACCCAAAACCAAACUAAACGAAAACAAACAGAAGAAGGUAAGAACUCAAAACAAUUUACCGCUAACAGUAAAUGAUAAAACCAGACUUCCUCCCUUCACUACAGAAAAAUCGGACCUUUUAUCCGUGGAACGUAAUGAGAUCUUUCAUCGAUGGAUGCGUGGCAUCUCUGGCGCGCGCGACCGGGGUUGUCGCGGCUUCCAGAAACGCAAGCGAUGAUACACGUGGAGCGAGUUGGUCACUUGGGUUAUUGUCGGAUUUCAGUCAGGUGCUUUCAGCAUGGUACAACAAGACCGUAAGAAGCAGAGCAAUCCUGAGCAGCGCAACCAGCCGCUGCAACGAACUUCAACGGUACAAUGCCAAGCCGCGGAGCAAUCGUGGAUUACUUUACUGACAAGGCACAGCCAUGACCAGCCGCAGCUUCGUCAUGCCUCUGCUAAAUCGCUGACAAGGCUGGAGGUCUCGUCAGUUACCUCUUCAAAACGGGUGCUUUUGGAUUCUCCAGAAGCUGGGCCCGCACGUCUUCCACAAAAUUCUCCUUGUAUUCAUCGUUGUCCAAUUCCUGGAUGGUGGAGUUCAACCAAUUUACUUGUAUCAUAUGGUUCAUUCCUAUUAGUAAAAUAAUAAAUUAAUUGGGAUGGUUUUAUCAUGGAUAAGUUGGUACAAUAAACUGAUCAUUAUUAUUUUGAACCAUUUCAUACACGAACCAAAUGAUACGAGCAACAAAAACAACCUAUAUUACCCAGACCUGAUGUGCCUUCCAAUAUGCUCUAGGUGAUGAUUAUAUUAACCAGACCUUAUGUGCCUUCCAAGUCCAGCACACGCAAGAACCUCAUCUUGUCAGAAAUGAAAAAGGACCUCCGUUUCCCAAACAUUGUUAAUGAGCGUACACGGGACAGAUCAACUUUGUUCUCAAACUCACUCUUACCACCCACCGCAGCACAUGCCAUGUCUCUGGACUGCAGAGACCUGAGAGAGAAAAAACAGGGCGCAUUACAGCAUCGUACGUCUGUACCUUGAUCUCGGACUGUCUCCCCGUGGCCCUGAAACCAAGCGAGGCGCGGCAUGCAUGCCCGGGUGCUUGGCGGCUGCGCGCAUGGUCUCGCUCUCGGCAACUUGGCUUGUCCGUUAGCUUCCUGCGAGCGGCCAAAUGGGUCCCUACUUGAAUAGGGCCUUGCUCUGGAGCUGCUCUCAUGGUGAAAUGUGCAGCACCAGUAGCCCAACACAGACAUACCUCCGUUCCUCUGCAUACUCAAAAGCUCCCGCUGCUCGCGUGGUGCCGUGGUGUCCUUGGGAAGGGAAUCGAUAUGGGGAACCAAAACACAGUGCUGAAAUGUAUCAUGUAAAUGAAACUCUUUAUUGCAUUAAAAAAAUAUGAAAAAUACUACUUCAGCGAAGCACGAAAAAUUAUGUGACCUGUAAUGGAGUACCGUGCAUUUCCUCUGUUGAUAAUGGCAGGGACGCAAGGGAGCUGCAACAUCACUUGCAAAGAAAAAUGAUGCCAAACCAGCAACCCUGCAGAUCAUUGUGGUGAACGUUCAUACAAAUGACCUGUAUAGUUAAUCAUAUAUAGUCCACACCAAUCUUUGUAGCCCAAUUACUGAACUGAUGAACAUUAUUUCACUUUUAUCAGGCGAUGCAGGAUGGAGCAGCACGCCAGUUAUUCUUAUUUGGCACAACCACAUAAGCAAAAAAAGGAAUACGUACGUACUGACGAACAAAACAAAAAAAAAAGAUGAUACAGAGACGCGGCACUAGGCCCACGUACAGGAUACUGACACGAUCCAUCUUUUUAGCUGCAUGCGUUAAAAAAGAAAUACAUCAGCAGUAGGACUGGAGAUUAAUUUUACACACACAUCAAUUGUUCAGAUGCACAAAGAGGGUAACAGGGAAACAGCAAGAGCAAUGACAUGGCACGACGAUCGGCUGACUUUGCAGCACCUCACGACCUCUUCAAAGCGGGUCCAUUUGGAUUGGCACCAAGCUGGCCCUGCAGGUCUUCCAUGAAAGCGUGCUCAUAAGUUUUGCUGUCCAGCAUAAAUUCCUUGAGGCUCCGGAGCAAUGGUAGCCCGGAAAACAUCCCUGUGUUGGUUUCUUCAAGCUUGCCACGAAAAUCCAGCCGCUCAAGCCGAAGCAUUGCCCCUUCUUCAAACUCCACCGAUUUCAGGCCAUCUAUGUCAUUUAGCUCCAGCACUAUCAGACUUGGGAAUGCCUCCGGAUGGAAGGUGAAACGGAGGUCGUCAACCUGGAACGACUUCGCCCCCAGACGUAAGCUGACCAGGUUUGGAAGCUUCCCAAGAACUUGGAGUGCAGGUUCGUGUUCCAGUAUUCUAGAGCUCCUUAGAACCAACUUCACAAGAUUCUUGAGCCCCUCGACCCAUCCUGGCAAUUUGAGCAGAUUGCCGUAUAUCUUGAGGCUUGCAGGUUUUUCGGAGCGGAGGUCAAGCCAUCCAAACAGCCAUGCAAACCUGGCAUCCCACGUGCCUGCACUAGCAAAGAUUCCAGGUAGCUGAGAUUGGCAACGACUGAACACAAUUCCUGGCCGUUUUCCUGGUUGAUGCCAGCCACAGCUAACUUGCGCAACUGGGUCAGUCGUUUUAUGUCCCGUAGAAUUGCUUUGUCCCAUGCGAGAUUCACAAGACCCAAUGUGCGCAGGGAUUUUAGUUUCCCUAUCCCUCUUGGCAUCCAAGUUGGACCUUCUUUCGCCAUCAGAAGAGGGAGCAUGACGCAGCAACACUGAGUGCAUACAUCACACCUAUUCAUGUCACCAUCCACAUCCAUAACCUCUUUAAGAAGUUGAGGUGCGCAACAUGCCAUGCAAAAUCCUAGCAACCAACCCAUACAAAUGCAUGGCCCCAGCACUACUUUUGGCAGUUCUUCAAAUGCAUUUAAUGAAUCAUCAUCCUUUCCAACAGCCCCAACACAAAGAUAUUGUAGCUUCUUGAGCUUGGUGAUGGUCUUGGGCAGCUUAAAAAUCGAUGUUUUUGAAAUAUCUAGUGUUUCUAGUUGCUUCAGAUUACCCAACGAAUCUGAUACGUGAAAAAUAUAAUCACAUCCUCUUAGAGAAAGGUAUCUGAGGUGAAGAAGCUUCCCAAUAUACUCUACGUGAUGAUUAACCAGACCUGAUGUGCCUUCCAAGUCCAGCACACGCAAGAACCUCAUCUUGUCAGAAAUGAAAAAGGACCUCCACUUCCCAAACACUGUUAACGAGCGUAUGCGGGACAGAUCCACUUUGUUCUCAAACUCACUCUUAUCUGCUUCCCAGUUGGUGCUUAUGACAAGGUGACGAACUGUGCCCUGGGUGUUUGAGCUGCAACCUUCCUCCAUUCUAAAAACAAGAUUUUCUUCUAUAGACUUUGAGAUGCUAAUCUCACGCAUGAGAUCAUGGACUUGGCAAGAGUCAAUUCCUUUUCUACUAUUAACUGAUAGCUGAGAAGGUAGGAUCAUGCUCCUCUCUAUUAGUUCCAUGAAGUAGUUGUCAGCUACUUCUUCUGGGGACUUAUCUCGAAUCUCCCGUGAGUAACCUUCUGCACUCCACCGUCGUAUCAAACAUCUUCGACUAAUCUUGUGAUCUUCAGGGAAGACGGAUGUAUACAGGAAACAAGACUUAAGAUGAUAUGGUAGACCAUCGUAACUUUUACCGAGAAUUGUUUUUAUGGCCCCAACCUCUGGGUUCAUUUCCAAUUCAGCACUAAUAUGCUCAUUCAAUUUCCUCCACUCUACCGCUACUUUUGGUUGCUUUGCCAAGAAGCCUCUGAUGGUGACUAUUGCAAGGGGAAGUCCAUUGCACUUCUUCAAGAUCAUGUUUGCUUCUUUGAUCAAUUCAGGAUGCUUGUCCAAAUCUUUGUCCUCCUUAAAUACCUGAAAUCAGUAGUGCUUAUUAUGUUCUUUGAGAUUGAAAAUACGUACGAAUGGUCUAUGUAGUUUACUUAUUUAUUAGAAUGACUAUGGCACAAUUAUUAGUCUCAUGCCUAUUGAAGAAUAGAACUAUUAGUUAUGAUGUCCUUAUAUCGUAAUGAAAGAUAACACAAAUGGCAGCAGGAUUAUAUUGCAAUAUAGUAUACCUUUCUUGUGAAGAGGUCUUGUGCAUCCUUGCAUUCAAGAACUUUGAGCUUGUAUAUGUUUUUUUGUUUCUCUGAACAAUGUUUUGCUAUACUCUCUUCCCUUGUGGUCACUAUAAUCCGGCAUGAACUAUCUAAUUUAGGGAAGCUUCCAAAUAUAUUAUCCCAUUCUGCUAUUGAUGAAAGAUCAUCAAGAACAAUCAAGCACUUCCUCCCUUCAAGAAGCCUAGCUAACUCUUUUAUUAAUGCUUCAACUCCCAUCAUUAUUGGGGCUGUGUUUCUUGCACCAUGUGCAAAAUCUAUUGCUCCUUUCUUUUCAGAAGAUUGUACAUUUAGUUGCAUAAUUAAGCUCUUCAGGAACUCCUUAAGAAUGAAAGGGCGCAUCACUGUAACACAAGCAUGCUUCUCAAACACACCAACAUGCUUCUGACUUUCAUAAACAUCUUUGAUCAGAGUAGUUUUCCCAAGACCACCCAUUCCCUAUACUGAGAUCACUGCAAGCUCAUGAUUAGAUGGAUUUGAAAUGAGGUUGAUGAUAUCAGUUUUUUCUUUCUGCCGACCGAUAAGUUGUGAUUCCUCCAAAGCACUUGCCAUAGUUUUGAUGCGAGCAAGGCUUUUUGCAAAUACCUUUAUCUCAUUGCCACCUUGAGAUUGAUGUCCCAGUGUUACAUUAGUACUUAUUGAUUCAUCUGAGCUAGACACUACCAGUGGUAUUUUUAUUUGAUCUUGACAAUCCUAUGCAGAGGUAAACUUUAGUUAUCAGAAUUUUAAAUUUGUCGAUGUUUAAACAAUAUUUUGACUCAAAAAGGUAAAUUCUAGCAUAAAUGCAUAUAAAUUUAUGAUGGGCACAGAUAGAUUGCUUGGGUAAUUAAAAGAAACAAGAUAGAUUGAUUUGGCAAGAAUGGAAUUAUAACAUAUAGGGGAGGCUAGUAUCUAGCCCAAUUACAAAUGAGGUGUUUAGAUAGAACUAUAAUGUGCAAGAUUGUUAUUGGCCAAUAUAUAGAUUUUCUUUAACACUAAUAUUACUAACAAUAGAUUCUAUUUGGAUGAUCGAUGUUAAUUCUCACUAGACAUGCUAGAAAAAUAGAUAGAUCUUAGAAAAUCUCACAAAGAGCGAAACAUUCUACCAUCAAUUUUGUAGACUCAAUCGUUGUUGAUAACAAUAAGCAUAGGAUGUAAUUUACUUUAAAAAUGACCUACCUCUACCAUUACAAAGAUAAUAUCCAAAAUCUACACCUAAAAUCCCCACAUAUGCCAUUAUGAAUAAGAAUUUAAUCAUCCCCUAAAUCUCCAUACAAGUGACCAAUCACUGCUACUAUGAAAAUAAAGCAUAAGUAACCUCGCAAUUUGUAUCUAAAUUACCAAUACCCUCUGCCAUUAUGAAUAAGAAUUUAAAUAAGAUAAUAAAUUUGUGCCUAGAUUAUCCAUCAUUUCCAUUAUUAAAAAUAACUUAAAGUAAUGCUUAAAUCUACAUCUGAAUUGCACAUUUCUAUGAUUAUAAAGUAUAAUAACCCAAAGCAUGCCCUAUAAAUGCUUCUAAAAUGAUCAUUUGUAUCAUCAUUAAUAUGUGAAAAAACUAAAGUAUACACAUCCAUGAUGUUUACCACCAUAGAAACCAAGUAGCAAGCAUGUAGGGAUCAAUAGAUAACAUUUUGACUGACAACAUUAUAACAUCUACAAUGAUAGUUACAUUAUGACCACUCUAAUUAUUUUCUCCCUCAAGCUAUUCUUUUGAUCUAUUUUUGUAACAUAAGUUAUAAUGUCAUGUGUCGUCCCAAUUAAUAUGAACUUAAAACUCAACCGGUACAUGGAGAAACAAAAAAAAAAUCUCAUUAGGGGUAGCAUAGACCAAUUGAAAUAGUUUGGGGAGUACAUCUAGUUAUUCAAGGAACUAAGCGGACAUAGUGGAUUGCUUAGGGUAGUAAAAUAGACAUCUUCAUUUAGUAAAGUUUUUCUAUAAGAAAUGUUUACACCUCUAGACAUGCUGGUUGACAAUCUUGUUUAUUCCUUCCACUUCUAACAGUUAUGCUUCUUAUGCUACCAUGUAUAGGAGCAUGUACUUGUUGAUGGACUCGUCCUUAUGGACGAAAAUUGAUACAUUUUUUCCCGUGCCUAUAAAUAUGGUAAAAGAAUACUGGAUACAACAACCUGAAUCCUUGUAACUAUCUGAGAUAAAGAAAAAUAACAAGAGGUGACACUAAUUCGAUAAUUUCUGAAGGAUGAAUAGUACCUUCUCGUAGAAAGCAUAAAUAGUCUGAUGAGCGGAGAACUGCUAAAGCUCCAACGCUUGGCAUUCUUGCCCUGCACACAAGCUUGCAACUUCAAUUUGUAGGCUGCAAACUAUGAUUCGACUCCCUUUCUUGUGGUUCGGCGGCAGACAUGCUUUAACCCCAUUCCACUCUUCGAAGGUGGACAAGUUAUUAAGCACAAUCAGGAAACUAUUCUCGCUUAGGUAUCCAGAGAACUCCUCUGCCAAUUCUUUUCCUGUCUUCUUGGUCUCCAACAGAACAUCGACCCCCACGGCUGAUCGGAACUGCUUCACUAAGCUUUGGCUGAAGUCAUUCGGAUUGAAGGGAUGCGAGAUCCUUACCCAUGCCCGGCACGAAAACUUCUUUUUGAUAUGUGGAUUCUCGUAGGCAACGUUGAUGAUGGAUGUCUGCCCAAGAUCACCACUGGUUCCCCACACUGCGAUCACUCUAAGAUCCUCGCCCGGUGAUUCAGCACUUCGAGCAAGAUCAUCGAGGAGAGGCGGUGUUGAUUGAGCCCGGAGAUGGUGGAGAUGCUCUCUUGCGUCAAGGACUAGGAAGCUGCAGAAGCAAGACUUCAGAACAUCUUGGAGGAUCAAGAACUUGAGGAAAGUUUUGCUAAUUUGUAUCUAAAUGUCCCUGCUGAUUCAUAGGUGUAAAACUUGGCCUGUAAUAACUUGAACUACUAUAAUAUUGAUUUGAUUGAGCUAGGCUGUACUCUUUUUUCCUAUCUAGGGUUUCUCACGAGGUGUGAGUUUUACCUAAAUAGGUUUUUAAUGAAGCAGCCAUUGCACUAGCUCAAACUUGUAAUCCCUUGUUUCUUUCUGUGAUGUUGAUCUGUGUUGUGAACUUAAAGUUGAUGAGAUAACUUCAAAUCUGUUUUGUGAAGUUAAGGUUGAAAUCUGUGUUGUGAAGUUGAAGUUAGUAUUUAAUCUAUUGAUAUGUUGAAAUCUUGUUUAUCUCAUGAUUUUGUUUAUCUAAUGAUCUGUUGAAGUUGAAAUAUAUUAAUCUGUUGAUCUGUUGAAAUAACUUGAAGAUGAAAUCUUGGUUUGUUUGAAUGGUCAUUGAUCUUUAGUGCCUGACCUGGCACUAGCACGACAGUACCCGUCGUGCCAGCAGGCCGGCUCGACCCAAUAAAAAGGCCAUCGGGCUGGGCCUAGGCCACCUCCUCAGCACGCAGUGCUAGCCCAGCCCGGCACGAAAAACCUUCAGGCCUAUUAGUGCUGGGCCAGACCGGGCUAGGGCUAGGCAACCAUCUAUAUCUGAAGCUGCUCUCGUGGUGAAAUGUGCAGCACCAAUAGCCCAACACAGACACCCCUCCUCUGCACACUCAAAAGCUCCCGCUGCUUGCGUGGUGCCGUGGUGACCUUGGAAAGGGAAUCGAUAUGGAAAACCAAAACACAGUGGUGAAACGUAUCAUGUAAAUAAAACUCUUUAUUGCAUUAAAAAAAUACGGUGCUGAAACUGAACCGGGCCGGAACAACAACGAGGCAAGCUGAACCGUGCGUGGUUCUAUAUUUUCACAUGCAUGUUGUUCCACGUUGGCUCCACCGCAAUGUGGUCAUUCUCUCUGGUUUUAUAGGAACAAGCAAUGCCUAUGCAGGGGUUGCUGGCCUGUGCCUGAUCACCGUGGAGCCGCUGCCCCUGGUGCCAGUGGACAAGCUAAAAUACUACUCCAGCGAAGCACGAAAAAUUGUGUGGCCUGCAAUGGAGUACCGUGCAUUUCCUCUAUUGAUAAUGGCAGGGACGCAAGGGAGCUGCAACAUCACUUGCAAAGAAAAAUGAUGGCAAACCAACUCAAGCAUACACAACCAGCGACCCUGCAGAUCAUUGUGGUGAACGUUCAUACAAAUGACCUGUACAGUUAUUCAUAUAUAGUCCACACCAGUCUUUGUAGCCCAAUUACUGAACUGAAGAACAUUAUUUCACUUCUAUCAGGCGAUGCAUGAUGGAAGAGCACGCUAGUUAUUCUUAUUUGGCACAACCACAUAAGCAAAAAAAAGGAAUACGAACGUACAGACGAACAAAACAAAAACAGAUGAUUCAGAGACGCUGCACUAGGCCCACGGGAUACUAACACGAUCGACCUUAGCUGCAUGCGUCAAAAAGAAAUACAUCAGCAGUAGGACUGGAGAUUAAUUUUACACACACAUCAAUUGUUCAGAUGCACAAAGAGGGUAACAGGGAAGCAGCAAGAGCAAUGACCUGGCACGACGAUCGGCUGACUUUGCAGCACCUCACCACCUCUUCAAAGCGGGUCCAUUUGGAUUGGCACCAAGCUGGCCCUGCAGGUCUUCCAUGAAAGUGUGCUCAUAAGUUUUGCUGUCCAGCAUAAAUUCCUUGAGGCUCCGGAGCAAUGGUAGCCCGGAAAACAUCCCUGUGUUGGUUUCUUCAAGCUUGCCACGAAAAUCUAGCCGCUCAAGCCGAAGCAUUGCCCCUUCUUCAAACUCCACCGAUUUCAGGCCAUCUAUGUCAUUUAGCUCCAGCACUAUCAGACUCGGGAAUGCCUCCGGAUGGAAGGUGAAACGGAGGUUGUCAACCUGGAACGACUUCGCCCACAGACGUAAGCUGACCAGGUUCGGUAGCUUCCCAAGAACUUGGAGUGCAGGUUCGUGCUCCAGUAUUCUAGAGCUCCUUAGAAUCAACUUCACAAGAUUCUUGAGCCCCUCGACCCAUCCUGGCAAUUUGAGCAGAUUGCCGUAUACCUUGAGGCUUUGCAGGUUUUUCGGAGCGGAGGUCAAGCUAUCUAAGCAGCCAUGCAAACCUGGCAUCCCACGUGCCUGCACUAGCAAAUAUUCCAGGCAGCUGAGAUUGGCAACGACUGAACACAAUUCCUGGCCAUUUUCCUUGUUGAUGCCAGUCACAGCUAACUUGCGCAACUGGGUCAGUCUUUUUAUGUCGAGUAGAUUUGCCUUGUCCCAUGCGAGAUUCACAACACUCAAUGUGCGCAGGGAUUUUAGUUUCCCUAUCCCUCUUGGCAUCCAAGUUGGACCUUCUUUCGCCAUCAGAACAGGGAGCAUGACGCAGCAACACUGAGUGCAUACAUCACACCUAUUCAUGUCACCAUCCACAUCCAUAACCUCUUUAAUAAAUUGAGGUGCGCAACAUGCCACGCAAAAUCCUAGCAACCAACCCAUACAAAUGCAUGGCCUGUUAUUCACUACUUUUGGCAGUUCUUCAAGCGAUAAUGAAUUAUCAUGCGCUCCAACAGCCCCAGCACGAAGAUAUUGUAGCUUCUUGAGCUUGGUGAUGGUCUUGGGCAGCUUUAAAAUCGAUGUCUGUGAAAUAUCUAGUGUUUCUAGUUGCUUUAGAUUACCCAACGAAUCUGGCAAGUGAAAAAUAUCAGCACAUCUUCUUAGAGAGAGGUAUCUGAGGUGAAGAAGCUUCCCAAUAUGCUCUAGGUGAUGACUAACCAGACCUGACGUGCCUUCCAAGUCCAGCACACGCAAGAACCUCAUCUUGUCAGAAAUGAAAAAGGACCUCCACUUCCCAAACACUGUUAAUGAGCGUAUGCGGGACAGAUCCACUUUGUUCUCAAACUCACUCUUAUCUGCUUCCCAGUUGGUGCUUAUGACAAGGUGGCGAACUGUGCCCUGGGUGUUUGAGCUGCAACCUUCCUCCAUUCUAAAAACGAGAUUCUCUUCUGUUGACUUUGAGAUGCUAAUCUCACGCAUGAGAUCAUGAACUUGGCAAGAGUCAAUUCCUUUUCUACUAUUAACUGAUAGCUGAGAAGGUAGGAUCAUGCUCCUCUCUAUUAGUUCCAUGAAGUAGUUGUCAGCUACUUCUUCUGGGGACUUAUCUCGAAUCUCCCUUGAGUAACCUUCUGCACUCCACCGUCGUAUCAAACGUCUUCGACUAACCUUGUGAUCUUCAGGGAAGAUGGAUGUAUAUAGGAAACAAGACUUAAGAUGGUAUGGUAGACCAUCAUAACUUUUACCAAGAAUUGUUUUUAUGGCCCCAAGCUCCGGGUUCAUUUCCAAUUCAGCACUAAUAUGCUCAUUUAAUUUCCUCCACUCUACCGCUACUUUUGGUUGCUUUGCCAAGAAGCCUCCGAUGGUGACUAUUGCAAGGGGAAGUCCAUUGCACUUCUUCAAGAUCAUUUUUGCUUCUUUGAUCAAUUCAGGAUGCUUAUCCAAAUCUUUGGCCUCCAUAAACACCUGAAAUCAGUAGUGCUUAUUAUGUUCUUUGAGAUUGAAAAUACGUACGAAUGGUCUAUGUAGUUUACUUAUUUAUUAGAAUGACUAUGGCACAAUUAUUAGUCUCAUGCCUAUUGAAGAAUAGAAUUAUUAGUUAUGAUGUCCUUAUGUUGUAAUGAAAGAUAUCACAAAUGGCGGCAGGAUUAUAUUGUAAUAUAGUAUACCUUUCUUGUGAAGAGGUCUUGUGCAUCCUUGCAGUCAAGAACUUUGAGCUUGUAUAUGUUUUCUUGUUUCUCUGAACAAUGUUUUGCUAUACUCUCUUCCCUUGUGGUCACUAUAAUCCGGCAUGAACUAUCUAAUUUAGGGAAGCUUCCAAAUAUAUUAUCCCAUUCUGCUAUUGAUGAAAGAUCAUCAAGAACAAUCAAGCACUUCCUCCCUUCAAGAAGCCUAGCUAACUCUUUUAUUAAUGCUUCAACUCCCAUCAUUACUAGGGCUGUGUUUCUUGCACCAUGUGCAAAAUCUAUUGCUCCUUUCUUUUCAGAAGAUUGUACAUUUAGUUGCAUAAUUAAGCUCUUCAGAAACUCCUUACGAAUGAAAGGGCGCAUCACUGUAACACAAGCAUGCUUCUCAAACACACCAACAAGCUUUUGACUUUCAUAAACAUCUUUGAUCAGAGUAGUUUUCCCAAUACCACCCAUUCCCCAUACUGAGAUCACCGCAUGCUCUUGAUUAGAUCGAUUUGAAAUGAGGUUGAUGAUAUCAGUUUUUUCUUUUUGCCGACCGAUAAGUUGUGAUUCCUCCAAAGCACUUGCCAUAGUUUUGAUGCGAGUAAGGCUUUUUGUGAAUACCUUUAUCUCAUUGCCACCUUGAGAUUGAUGUCCCAGUGCUACAUUAGUACUUAUUGAUUCAUCUGAGCUGGACACUACCACUGGUAUUUUUAUUUGAUCUUGACAAUCCUAUGCAGAAGUAAACUUUAGUUAUCAGAAUUUUAAAUUUGUCGGUGUUUAAACAAUAUUUUGACUCAAAAAGGUAAAUUCUAGCAUAAAUGCAUAUAAAUAUAUGAUGGCCAUAGAUAGAUUGCUUGGGUAAUUAAAAGAAACAAGAUAGAUUGAUUAGGCAAGAAUGGAAUUAUAACAUAUAGGGGAGGCUAGUAUCUAGCCCUAUUACAAAUGAGGUGUUUAGAUAGAACUAUAAUGUGUAAGAUUGUUAUUGGCCAAUAUAUAGAUUUUAUUUAACACUAAUAUUACUAAUAAUAGAUUCUAUUUGGAUGAUCGAUGUUAAAUCUCACUAAACACGCUAGAAAAAUAGAUAGAUCUUAGAAAAUCUCACAAAGAGCGAAACAUUCUACCAUCAAUUUUGUAGACUCAAUCCUUGUUGAUAACAAUAAGCAUAGGAUGUAAUUUACUUUAAAAAUGACCUACCUCUACCAUUACAAAGAUAAUAUCCAAAAUCUACACCUAAAAUCCCCACAUAUGCUAUUAUGAAUAAGAAUUUAUUCGUCCUCUAAAUCUCCAUACAAGUGACCAAUCACUGCUACUAUGAAAAUAAAGCGUAAGUAACCUCACAAUUUGUAUCUAAAUUACCAAUACCCUCUGCCAUUAUGAAUAAGAAUUUAAAUAAGAUAAUAAAUUUGUGGCUAGAUUAUCCACUGUUUCCAUUAUUAAAAAUGACUUAAAGUAAUGCUUAAAUCUACAUAUGAAUUACACAUUUUUAUGAUUAUAAAGUAUAAUAAUCCAAAGCAUGCCCUAUAAAUUUUUCUAAAUUGAUCAUUGGUAUCAUUAUUAAUAUGUGAAAAAACUAAAGUAUACACAUCCAUGAUGUGUACCACCAUAGAAACCAAGUAGCAAGCAUGUAGGGAUCAAUAGAUGCAUUGAUUUACAUGGUUUGGCAAUAAUAAAAGUUAUUUUCUUAAUGAUUCAUAUUACAAUGGCAGUCCACGUUAAAUUAUAUUACAAUACUACUACAUGACAAGAAUUAUUUAAGUUGCUACUCUAGAUAAAUGUAUUACAUUUUGACUGACAACAUUGUAACAUCUACAAUGAUAGUUACAUUAUGACCACUCUAAUGAUAGUUGCUAUUCUUUUGAUCUAUUUUUGUAACAUAAGUUAUAAUGUCAUGUGUUGUCCCAAUUAAUAUGAACUUAAAACUCAACCGGUACAUGGAGAACAAAAAUAAAAAAAAUCUCAUUAGGGGCUGCAUGGACCAAUUGAAUUAGUUUGGGGAGUACCAUCCAGUUGUUCAAGGAACUAAGCGGACAUAGUGGAUUGCUUAGGGUAGUAAAAUAGACUUCUUCAUUUAGUAAAAUUUUUCUAUAGAGAAAUUUUUACACCUCUAGACAUGCUGGAUGACAAUCUUGUUUAUUCCUUCCACUUGUAACAGAUAUGCUUCUUAUGCUAGCAUGUACAGGAGCAUGUGUACUUGUUAAUGGACUCGUCCCUUAUGGGCGAAAAUUGAUACAUUCUUUCCUGUGCCUAUAAAUAUGGUAAAAGAAUACUGGAUACAACAACCUGAAUCCUUGUAACUAUCUGAGAUAAAGAAAAAUAAAAGAGGUGACACUAAUUCGACGAUUUCUGAAGGAUGAAUAGUACCUUCUCGUAGAAAGCGUAAAUAGUCUGAUGAGCGGAGAACUGCUUAAGCUCCAACGCUUGGCAUUCUUGCCCUGCACACAAGCUUGCAACUUCAAUUUGUAGGCUGCAAACUAUGAUUCGACUCCCUUUCUUGUGGUUCGGCGGCAGACAUGCUUUAACCUCAUUCCACUCUUCAAAGGUGGACAGGUUAUUAAGCACAAUCAGGAAACUAUUCUCGCUUAGGUAUCCAGAGAACUCCUCUGCCAACUCUUUUCCUGUCUUCUUGGUCUCCAACAGAACAUCGACCCCCACGGCUGAUCGGAACUGCUUCACUAAGCUUUGGAUGAAGUCAUUCGGAUUGAAGGGAUGCGAGAUCCUUACCCAUGCCCGGCACGAAAACUUCCUUUUGAUAUCUGGAUUCUCGUAGGCCGCGUUGAUGAUGGAUGUCUGCCCAAGAUCACCACUGGUUCCCCACACUGCGAUCACUCUAAGAUCCUCGCCCGGUGUGUUGAUCAGGUGGACAAGGUCCACUUUUGAGUUGUCAUUCUUCGCAGCACGCCGUGCAUCAUCGAUGCCGAAUAUCGCUGCAGCUGUAAUGCUUGACUGCUCAGCAGAAGUGACCGGCUUGGAGCCAGCGCUCUUGAUGAGCUGGUAGCGCAGGUUCCUCUGGCUCACGUCCUCAACUCUGGUCCUCAGCUCCUUCAUCUUCUUGGCGAUGCGGCGCCGCUCUUGCAACGUGCGAGGAAGGCGCCACCAAGAUGGCUUGUGGAGAUGAACAGAGAAAUCCUGGAGGCAGUCCUCCGCAUCGUACGCCACGUCACGAACUUGUUUCACCCAGGUCAUGAGCACCUCAUGGUUGUCUCGCUCGUCGUGCGCAGCCCUCAUAAAGGCUUGCAUCAUCGCGAGCUCGUCCCUGAUGAAAGCAUGAUCGCGCUGGAUGCCGAGCUGCAAGGCCACCUCCUCCGCGACAGCGGAUUUGGCGUAGCCAAGCGCUCCAUCCAGCACGGACUUGCCCACACUCAACGCUGUGGCCUCCAUGGCUCUCCUCUCGGGUGCUGUGUGGUGUGGAAAUGCUUGGUGCCAGUCCACAAGCCAACCAUUUGGUUAAAAAGGUGAACUCAACAACUAGAGGACCGAGCAAGUUGAAAUUUUUCAUGAAGACUUGGACUUAGUGUAGCAGUUCCUCAAGUCGUACCAAAUUAAUUUAGUGGUAGGCUAUGUUAAUUAAGUGGUAGGCUAGUAUUGAGAUGCACGCAAGAGAGCUGUUGGUCCAAGCUUGCAGCGCGUUGACUCUGUUGCACAUGUUGGCACGAGCAAACUACACACCUAAGCACGCAGCUUGCAAUUUUCUUUAAGAAAAGCUGCACAUGUUGGCAACCAUUAUGAUCGUUAUGAAUCGAUUGAAGCGCAGAUGCCAUCUCAUUGUCAACGGGACCGGAGCUAGAGAAGAAUAAAGGGGCGUGCGACACCUUCAAGGCAUACAUAGACAUUUAAUUUAACAUGAUGAAAAUUUCGAGCGAUAGCAAACUAUGAGUUUUUUCUACGUGCGGCAGCACCCGGCACUUAUAACCUAGCUCUGCCCCUGGUUGUCAAGGAUAAGGACAUUUGGAAUCAACUGAAACAUCAUAAGAAGCUAGCCCAAAAAGCAAAAGCAACGCACAAACCUACAGACAAGCUGCUCUGUGGUAGGGGAGAAAACUUCAGCAAAACACUAAAGCUUCUAUGCAGAGUAAAAAAUUAGAUCCUUCCUUCUUCUCGAGUCAAUUCCAUGGAUGGACACAUGUGAGAAUGCAUCCACAACUUGUAGCGAAGCAUGUGACCUUGUAUGUGAGAGCAAGCCCCACGUGCCUGCACUAGCAAAGAUUCCAGGCAGCUUAGAUUGGCAACGACUGAACAGAACUCCUGGCCGGUUUUCUUGCUGAUGCCGGUCACAGCUAACUUGCCUUGUCCCAUGCAGAGAUUCACAGGACCCAAUGUGUGCAGGGCUUUUAGUUUCCCGAUCCCUCUUGGCAUCCAAGUUGGACUUUCCAUUGUCAUCAUCAGAAGAGGGAAGAACCAGCAGCAACAUAUAGUGCACCUAUUAAUGUCACCACCGGCCCGUUACGUGAAACUCUUUUAAGAAGAUGAGGUACACAACAUGCAACACAAAAUCCGAGCAACCAACCCGUACAAAUGCAUGGCUUGUUAUUCACUACUUUUGGCACUUCUUCUAACGGACUAUUAAAUGAUUUAUCAUCCUUUCCAACAGACCCAGGAUCAAGAUAUUGUAGAUUCUUGAGUUUGGUGAUAGUCUUGGGCAGCUUUAAUAUCUCUGUCUCUGAAAUAUCUAGUGUUUCUAGUUGCUUUAGAUUACCGGCCCACCAACGAAUCUGACAAGUGAAAAAUACCAGUACAUCCUCUUAGAGAGAGGUCUCUGAGGUGAAGAAGCUUCCCAAUAUGCUCUAGGUGAUGAUUAAACAGACCUGAUGUGCCUUCCAAGUCCAGCACACGCAAGAACCUCAUCUUGUCGGAAAUGAAAAAGGACCUCCAGAGAACUCCUCUGCCAACUCUUUUCCUGUCCUCUUGGUCUCCAACAGAACAUCAACCCCCACGGCUGAUCGGAAGUACUGCUUCACUAAGCUUUGGAUGAAGUCAUUCGGAUUGAAGGGAUGCGAGAUCCUUACCCAUGCCCGGCACGAAAACUUCUUUUUGAUAUCUGGAUUCUCGUAGGCCGCGUUGAUGAUGGAUGUCUGCCCAAGAUCACCACUGGUUCCCCACACUGCGAUCACUCUAAGAUCCUUGCCCGGUGAUUCAGCACUUCUGGUAGGAUCAUCGAGGAGAGGCGGCGUCGAUUGAGCCCGGAGAUGGUGGAGGUGCUCUCUUGCGUCAAGGACUGGAAAGCUGCAGAAGCAAGACUUCAGAACAUCUUGGAGGAUCAAGAGCUUGAGGAAAGUUUUGCUAAUUUGUAUCUAAAUGUCCCUGCUGAUUCAGAGGUGUAAAACUUGACCUGUAAUAACUUGAACUACUAUAAUAUUGAUUUGAUUGAGCUAGGCUGUACUCUUUUUUCCUAUCUAGGGUUUCUCACGAGGUGUGAGUUUUACCUAAAUAGGUUUUUAAUGAGGUAGCCAUUGCACUAGCUCAAACUUAUAAUCUCUUGUUUCUCUCUGUGAUGUGGUGGAAGGAAUAACUGUUAGAAGUGGAAGGAAUAAACAAGAUUUUCAACCAGCAUGUCUAGAGAUUAUAAGUUUCUCUCUGUGCCGUGGUGGCCUUCGAAAGGGAAUCGAUACGGAAAAUCAAAACACAGUGGUGAAACGUAUCAUGUAAAUAAAACUCUUUAUUGCAUUAAAAAAACAAUGGGCUGAAACUGAACCGGGCCGAAACAACAACGAGGCAAGCUGAACCGUGCGUGGUUCUGUAUUUUCACAUGCAUGUUGUUCCACGUUGGCUCUGCCGCAAUGUGGUCAUUCUCUCUGGUUUUAUGGGAAUAAGCAAUGCCUAUGCAGGGGUUGCUAGCCUGUGCCUGAUCGCCGUGGAGCCGCUGCCCCUGGUGCCAGUGGACAAGCUAAAAUACUACUCCAGCGAAGCGUGUGUGGCCUGCAAUGGAGUACCGUGCAUUUCCUCUGUUGACAAUGGCAGGGACGCAAGGGAGCUGCAACAUCACUUGCAAAGAAAAAUGAUGGCAAACCAACUCAAGCAUACACAACCAGCGACCCUGCAGAUCAUUGUGGUGAACGUUCAUACAAAUGACCUGUACAAUUAUUCAUAUAUAGUCCACACCAGUCUUUGUAGCCCAAUUACUGAAUUGAAGAACAUUAUUUCACUUCUAUCAGGCGAUGCAUGAUGGAGCAGCACGCCAAUUAUUCUUAUUUGGCACAACCACAUAAGCAAAAAAAGGAAUACGUACGUACAGACGAACAAAACAAAAAACAGAUGAUUCAGAGACGCCGCACUAGGCCCACGGGAUACUGACACGAUCGACCUUAGCUGCAUGCGUCAAAAAGAAAUACAUCAGCAGUAGGACUGGAGAUUAAUUUUACACACACAUCAAUUGUUCAGAUGCACAAAGAGGGUAACAGGGAAGCAGCAAGAGCAAUGACCUGGCACGACGAUCGGCUGACUCUGCAGCACCUCACCACAUCUUCAAAGCGGGUCCAUUUGGAUUGGCACCAAGCUGGCCCUGCAGGUCUUCCAUGAAAGCGUGCUCAUAAGUUUUGCUGUCCAGCAUAAAUUCCUUGAGGCUCCGGAGCAAUGGUAGCCCGGAAAACAUCCCUGUGUUGGUUUCUUCAAGCUUGCCACAAAAAUCCAGCCGCUCAAGCCGAAGCAUUGCCCC